CGAACAGAUUUUGUGGAGGAAGAUGGUGAGUUGCUUUAGACGUGCUGAGUUUGGGAUGCACAAUGGAAAUCCAACCAGUUCUGUUUCGCUGGCAGACUUUUGUGAUACAAAUUCAUUAGGAAGCUCUGAGUAAAGCUGAAAUCAUGGCUAUGACGGAGUUUCUCUAAAGAUAACCUGUUCAAUGGAGAAGAGCGAAGGUGCCACACAGCUAGGAUGCUGGGGAAUGCCUCUAUUGAAAUAAAGUGAAGUAAGAAAACCAAGAAUGAAAGAACCAAGAACAAGGAGGAGCACUAAGGAAGAGAAAUCAUAUUGGGUAACUGAAGCAUUGCGGCUGAGUCUCUUGCCCGAGCGCCUGGCUAUCUUCCUCAGGGCCCCUCGGAGGAGGUGGGCUCCAGCUUCCCUCCCCGUCCCGAGCAGAGCUCCCUCGGCCGAAGACCUCCGGAGCCUAGACACAGCCAUACUCAAGGCCCCUCUCCACACAUUUGGAUGAGCCUCAUGCAUGAAGAACAAACAUCUCUGAAUGCAGCAGUUAUGUGUACUGUUGAGAACUCAACAUGAUGAACGACCUGGCACCUGAGCUGCGCAGGAGGAAGAGAGCGGUGUGGAAUGCCUUUAAGAGCAUCGAAGAAGUUGUUAAAAGGAUGGAGAACCUCCAGCUCCGGGCACAUCUUUUCAACUCCACCAUUCUUCCUGCACUAACAUACGCCUGGGCCCUACAAAAACAGGAUGAGAACGCUAUUCGGGUAUCCCAAAGAGGAAUGGAAAGAGCUAUGCUAGGAGUAUCAUGUUUCACUCAAGUGAGAGAAGGAAUCUGGAGUUCCAACCUCCGUUGACAAUUGAGAAUCAGGGACGCUGUCUUGUUUGCCAAGGCAUCAAAAAUCAGAUGGACUGGACACAUAAUGCGAUUUGGAGGUGAUCGCUGGACUAGAGCUGUUACUGACUGGAUUCCACAGGAUGUCAAAAGAAUGCCUGGCCGCCCACAUACGAGAUGGUCAGACUUCUCGUCAAGAUCCUGAAUGAACAGUUUGAAGCUUUUUGAGUUCCUGGGUGAGCAGAUGCCAUUGGGCUACACUAGCAUGCGGCAGGGACAAAUGGAGAUGUUACUGGCACCUGCUCAAGCAAAUAGAUGAGCAACAGGAUGAUGUGAUACAAGUGAUAUUUCUUAAUUGUCACUGUCACUGUCAUCCCAUUGCUCAUUGAUUUGCUCGAGUGGGCACUAGUAACGUCUCCAUUGUGAGACUUGUUACUGGUUUUGGCAUAUUGAAUACGCCACGGGGAGCUUGCCAGGCUCUGCCAUGCGGGUGAGAUACUCUUGGUAUAGCUUGCCGGGCUCUCCGAGAAGGAGGGAGGAAUCAAACCCGGGUCAGCUGUGUGCAAGGCAAACACUCUACCCGCUGCACUACCCACCCUGAAUGCGCCCAAUCUCAUCUGAUUUCUUAAUUAAUAUAUUAAUAAUAACAUGUUGAUUAAUACUUAAUUUGUUUAAUUACAAAAUGAAAAAAAUAGGUGAAAAAUGUCGUCAUUCUUUGCAGUCGGGGGCUCCUAAAUGGAGCUGAGAAGUCCCAGGUGACAGUGAUUCUUGUCCUGCUGCGAUAGUGUUCAAUGCAAGGAUCAAGGAUGCAGAGCUGCUUGAUCCCCACGGUGCUGAGGGUGACAUGGCAGUGAUGGGGGCAUCUUCAGGGCCACACCCAAUGACUGAGGAACCAUCUUGUGUGGGAGAUCAAACUUGCAUCUGCACCUUAACCCUGUACACUCUCUCUGGCCUCAAGAAUUAUCUUUGAUUGCUCAAGACUGGAUGUAAUCCUUUAACCUGGUCACUUUUCUUUUAUAAUCUCUAUAAAGUUCUCAGUGAUAUUUGUCAAAAUACAGUUUCUGCUCCAUUUCCUCCACUUUUUCUUCUAGAACUCCUUGUAGAAUAUAUAUAUGUGUAUAUAAAAGAAUAUAUCAGUCCAAUCAUUCUAUCCUGUGUCUGAUAAGCUAAUGUUUAUAUUUUACAAGUAUUUAACUCUUUUUUAGUGCAAGAUAUUCUCUUUAGCUCUAUUAUUAAGUUUUUUUUAGUUGUCUAGUUUACUAUUUAACUUGUUAAGUAAAUUUUUAUUUCAGUGUCAAUGUUUUAUGUGCCAAGAAUUUCUAUUUCUUCCCUUCUUCUAUUUCACUUUUUCUUAUACUUGUUUCAUGGUUUCUUUAUUUCCUUGAAUAUUAAAAAUUUUAAUGUGUUAAUAUGUCUUUCAAAAUAAACCACACACUAAUGUUUUAUAAGAAAUGA